rnacentral:rRNA from 1 species
GACGUAGGAGGCGAGCGUUUGUUCGGAAUUACUGGGCGUAAAGGGCGCGCAGGCGGUCUUCCAAGUCAGAUGUGAAAGCCCCGGGCUCAACCUGGGAACUGCACUUGAGACUGGAGGACUAGAGUUCGGGAGAGGAGAGCGGAAUUCCCAGUGUAGAGGUGAAAUUCGUAGAUAUUGGGAAGAACACCGGUGGCGAAGGCGGCUCUCUGGACCGAUACUGACGCUGAGGCGCGAAAAGCGUGGGGGAGCAAACAGG